rnacentral:misc_RNA from 1 species
UGUCUUCAAUGGACAUGUACAUGCCUACGAGAGGUCUAACCGAGUGUAUAACUACACUUUGGAUCCUUGUGGCCCUGUUUAUAUCACAAUUGGUGAUGGUGGAAAUAGAGAGAAGAUGGCAAUUACACAUGCUGAUGAACCCGGAAACUGCCCAGAUCCAUCCACCACGCCAGAUGAUUACAUAGGCGGUUUCUGUGCAUUCAAUUUUACAUCAGGCCCAGCAGCAGGAAAAUUCUGUUGGGACAGGCAACCUGAUUAUAGUGCAUACAGAGAAAGUAGCUUUGGUCAUGGGAUUUUGGAGGUUAAAAAUGAGACUCAUGCUCUGUGGACUUGGCACCGGAAUCAGGACUUUUACAGCACUGCUGGAGACCAAAUUUACAUAGUAAGGCGGCCUGAAAAGUGCCCUGUUGAAUUAAAGAAGGUUUUUCCGUGAGUGCUGGGAUCAGACGCAGAAGCACCUGAAGAUAUUGAGAAGCAAAAAUGAAAAGACUCGAGUGCGCAUCCUAUCUUGAAUACAAUACCAGGAUUAAGUUUGAUAUACAUGUAAUACAAUUUAAUAAUCUCAUUGUUCUUAUAGAUUUACAUGAAAUAUAUCUUUCCAUAAUAUUAAUAUUUUUUUUGUGAGCUGCA